rnacentral:misc_RNA from 1 species
GGGAGAAGGAGAGGGCGGAGGAGACGGAGAGCACGGUGGAGGAUGAGAUCGAGCUCGGCGAUUUCGGGUUGUUCAGGACCGACGGCGGGGGAUUGGGCCGGAGGAGACUUCGAGGGCCGGCGAUCGCCGGACGGAUGUUUGCGAUGGUGGUGAAGGAAGUCGCCGCCAUUGAUGGAGAUGGGGGUGGAGAGUGAGGGUUGAG